UACGGGGGGGGCUAGCGUUGUUCGGAAUUACUGGGCGUAAAGGGCGCGUAGGCGGCCUACUAAGUCGGACGUGAAAUCCCUCGGCUCAACCGGGGAACUGCGUCCGAUACUGGUGGGCUCGAAUCCGGGAGAGGGAUGUGGAAUUCCAGGUGUAGCGGUGAAAUGCGUAGAUAUCUGGAGGAACACCGGUGGCGAAGGCGGCAUCCUGGACCGGUAUUGACGCUGAUGCGCGAAAGCUAGGGGAGCAAACGGG
rnacentral:rRNA from 1 species